UACAGAGGCCUCGAGCGUUAGGCGGAAUCACUGGGCUUAAAGCGUGUGUAGGCGGAUUGGUAAGUACCUUGUGAAAUCCCACAGCUUAACUGUGGAACUGCUCGGUAUACUGCUGAUCUUGAGCCACUCAGGGGCGAGCGGAACAAAUGGUGGAGCGGUGAAAUGCGUAGAUAUCAUUUGGAACGCCAAUGGUGAAAACAGCUCGCUGGGGGUGUGCUGACGCUGAGACACGAAAGCCAGGGGAGCGAACGGG
rnacentral:rRNA from 1 species